GGCGGUUCUCGGGUGAUGCACCUUGAAAUUGGGCUCCCUCCUCUCUGGUUUUGGGUGUGUCACUCGAGAACCGCC
rfam:Myotis davidii contig68465, whole genome shotgun sequence.